rnacentral:rRNA from 1 species
AUGAUCAAGUCAAAUAGUGCUCUUGCUUUCCUAUGUUUCUGUCAUGCAUGUACUAUGGUUGAAUCUAAUUACUGUACUUGUAAACACAGGCUUUCGUCGUCCAAAUCAAAAUGUGAGACUCUGUAUUUGUUGCCACAUCUGGAGCAUCAUAGACGAAAUUUUGUUGGGAAACCGAAUGCCAUCUGCAUGCAAAACAGAGUUGCAGCACUGAAAUCGCAUUACCUUGUCACCUACUCGCUGAAUCCAUGCUUGUUGUCACAUAUAUACUGCCAGCCCUUGUCGAUCAGAUCAUACGGUGUAGAUGGAAUUCCAGGGACCAUACUAAGAGAGAUGUUCAUAGUUGCAGCCCCCUUGUGA